rnacentral:lncRNA from 10 species
UCCACCCCUGGCUGGUUUCUGCUUCCACCUGCUGAUCUCACAGAGGUGAGGUGAUAACAGUGAUGAAACAAAAUCUUCAAACCACAGCACACACUGCAAGCUAUUUGGCAUAUGAAGGUCUUGACCUGAGAAAACCAUCUUGGAUAACUGCAGCAAGGAAAAGGAAAAAUGCAACACCUAGGAGAUUUCAGUAAACAGUAGAAUCAUGCCAACCUAAUCUGUGUUAAAAUGCUUGGAAUGUGGGAGCCGCUGAUGAUGCCUCUUGUCUGUGUGUCUGACUGAAUCCUUUCUUUUCUCAGAGCAGCAAAGCAAAGCCUGGGAACCAGGCCAAAUGCCUGCCACUUACCUUAAAUUGAUCAGCCACUUUGAGAUUAAAACCCCUGAAAGCUGCCACACCGUGAAAACAAGGCCUCCUUCACAUUAAAGGCAAAUUGCGACUUUGGGUUUGCUGUGAUCUUUUUUCCAUUUUAUCCAGUUUUUCACAGUGCACUUUUUUCCCCCUUUCCAUUUAUGCUCCAAUAUAGAAGCCAAUAGUUACAGCAUCUUGGCCAAGCAUUCAUUAAGGUUUAUAAGAACAAAAUUUAUGGUUAUUUAGGAGUUGGCACAAAGGCAGACUGUUGCUGGAAAAAGAAAAAGAAAUACAGGUUGCUCUGCAGCAGACCUAUUUAAUUGUGCAUGGAUAUAAGUGAUUCAUCCUAACUAUACAUGCUUAAAGCUCCCCAGGGGAAAGGGGAAUGACCUUCCUGAUAUCUCUCCACCAUUCUUGUAACAGUCCUCUGUUCUGAAAAGACACUCAUUAAAUCUGGAAAAUUGAAGAUGCACAGAAUCUUUUGUGUCAUUUCAUAAAAUGCCAGCUACAACUCUGGAUGCAUGAGCACACAUGUGACCAUCACUUGCAAAUAAUACUGAUUAUUUCUGAGCCUGGGUUAGUCUGUUUAGCAAUCAUAAUAAGACAUUUGCCUUGUUUUGCAGAGUGUCAGAAAGCCACAGCCAUGAUAAAAGGAAACACAGAAAAAGCUAUGGCUCAGUGUGUUGGUCAACUCUGUUUCUGCCCCUUUUUAACCAGUUUGUCUUAUAAGUUUGUCGUUAAAAUUUUCCAUCACACCUAAUAGACUUUUAUCUUGAUCAUCAAUUUUAUAACUUCCAAGUCUUCAUACUUCAUAUUUCCUAUUAAUUGUGAUUGUUCUGUGUUUCUUUUUUUUCUAUUUUUUUAAAAAUUAUCUUUAAGUUCUGGGGUGCAUGUGCAGAACCUGCAGUUUUGUUACAUAGGUAUGCAUGUGCCAUGGUGGUUUGCUGCACCCGCGAAUCCAUCCACUACUUGAGGUAUUUCUCCUAAUGCUAUCCCUCUCCUAGCCCCCCACCCCGACAGGCCCUGGUAUGUGAUGUUCCCCUCCCU